rnacentral:rRNA from 1 species
UACAGAGGGUGCAAGCGUUGUUCGGAAUUAUUGGGCGUAAAGGGCGCGUAGGCGGUGCGGUAAGUCUGUAGUGAAAUCUCUGGGCUCAACUCAGAGUCUGCUGCAGAAACUGCCGUGCUUGAGUGUGGGAGAGGUGAGUGGAAUUCCCGGUGUAGCGGUGAAAUGCGUAGAUAUCAGGAGGAACACCAAUAGCGAAGGCAGCUCGCUGGGACGUUACUGACACUGAGGCGCGAAAGCGUGGGGAGCGAACAGG